rnacentral:rRNA from 1 species
AUUGAACGCUGGCGGCAGGCCUAACACAUGCAAGUCGAGCGAGCGGCGGACGGGUUAGUAAUGUAUGGGGAUCUGCGCGAUAGAGGGGGAUAACUACUGGAAACGGUGGCUAAUACCGCAUACUCUCGGAUGUACCCAUAUGGGAUUAGCUAGUUGGUGGGGUAAAGGCUCACCAAGGCAACGAUCUCUAGCUGGGCUGAGAGGAUGAACAGCCAAACUGUGACUGAGCCAAGGCCCAGACUCCUACGGGAGGCAGCAGUGGGGAAUAUUGCACAAUGGGCGCAAGCCUGAUGCAGCCAUGCCGCGUGUAUGAAGAAGGCCUUAGGGUUGUAAAGUACUUUCAGCGGGGAGGCGUUACCCGCAGAAGAAGCACCGGCUAUCUCCGUGCCAGCAGCCGCGGUAAUAC